UAGCGCCUCGUGAACUCAUCUCCGGGGGUAGAGCACUGUUUCGGCUAGGGGGCCAUCCCGGCUUACCAACCCGAUGCAAACUGCGAAUACCGGAGAAUGUUAUCACGGGAGACACACGGCGGGUGCUAACGUCCGUCGUGAAGAGGGAAACAACCCAGACCGCCAGCUAAGGUCCCAAAGUCAUGGUUAAGUGGGAAACGAUGUGGGAAGGCCCAGACAGCCAGGAUGUUGGCUUAGAAGCAGCCAUCAUUUAAAGAAAGCGUAAUAGCUCACUGGUCGAGUCGGCCUGCGCGGAAGAUGUAACGGGGCUAAACCAUGCACCGAAGCUGCGGCAGCGACACUUUAGUGUUGUUGGGUAGGGGAGCGUUCUGUAAGCCGUUGAAGGUGUCCUGUGAGGGGUGCUGGAGGUAUCAGAAGUGCGAAUGCUGACAUAAGUAACGAUAAAGCGGGUGAAAAGCCCGCUCGCCGGAAGACCAAGGGUUCCUGUCCAACGUUAAUCGGGGCAGGGUGAGUCGACCCCUAAGGCGAGGCCGAAAGGCGUAGUCGAUGGGAAACGGGUUAAUAUUCCCGUACUUGGUGUUACUGCGAAGGGGGGACGGAGAAGGCUAUGUUGGCCGGGCGACGGUUGUCCCGGUUUAAGCGUGUAGGUGUGUGUUCCAGGUAAAUCCGGUUCACUUUAACACUGAGGCGUGAUGACGAGGCACCACGGUGCUGAAGCAACAAAUGCCCUGCUUCCAGGAAAAGCCUCUAAGCAUCAGGUAACAUCAAAUCGUACCCCAAACCGACACAGGUGGUCAGGUAGAGAAUACCAAGGCGCUUGAGAGAACUCGGGUGAAGGAACUAGGCAAAAUGGUGCCGUAACUUCGGGAGAAGGCACGCUGACACGUAGGUGAAGUGAUUUACUCAUGGAGCUGAAGUCAGUCGAAGAUACCAGCUGGCUGCAACUGUUUAUUAAAAACACAGCACUGUGCAAACACGAAAGUGGACGUAUACGGUGUGACGCCUGCCCGGUGCCGGAAGGUUAAUUGAUGGGGUCAGCGCAAGCGAAGCUCCUGAUCGAAGCCCCGGUAAACGGCGGCCGUAACUAUAACGGUCCUAAGGUAGCGAAAUUCCUUGUCGGGUAAGUUCCGACCUGCACGAAUGGCGUAAUGAUGGCCAGGCUGUCUCCACCCGAGACUCAGUGAAAUUGAACUCGCUGUGAAGAUGCAGUGUACCCGCGGCAAGACGGAAAGACCCCGUGAACCUUUACUAUAGCUUGACACUGAACAUUGAGCCUUGAUGUGUAGGAUAGGUGGGAGGCUUUGAAGCGUGGACGCCAGUCUGCGUGGAGCCGACCUUGAAAUACCACCCUUUAAUGUUUGAUGUUCUAACGUGGACCCGUAAUCCGGGUUGCGGACAGUGUCUGGUGGGUAGUUUGACUGGGGCGGUCUCCUCCUAAAGAGUAACGGAGGAGCACGAAGGUUGGCUAAUCCUGGUCGGACAUCAGGAGGUUAGUGCAAUGGCAUAAGCCAGCUUGACUGCGAGCGUGACGGCGCGAGCAGGUGCGAAAGCAGGUCAUAGUGAUCCGGUGGUUCUGAAUGGAAGGGCCAUCGCUCAACGGAUAAAAGGUACUCCGGGGAUAACAGGCUGAUACCGCCCAAGAGUUCAUAUCGACGGCGGUGUUUGGCACCUCGAUGUCGGCUCAUCACAUCCUGGGGCUGAAGUAGGUCCCAAGGGUAUGGCUGUUCGCCAUUUAAAGUGGUACGCGAGCUGGGUUUAGAACGUCGUG
rnacentral:rRNA from 1 species